CCCGAAAUAAAAAGAUCUAAAUUUAAAAAGUUUAAUAGAGCUUUAUAUUAAUGUAACAAAUAUUAAAUUGUUAUUUUUAUUUAGUGGUGAAAGGCCUUCAAUUUUUAUGAUAUCUGGAUAUUAAUUAAAUGCAUUUAGUGCAGGUUUAAAACUUAAUUAAUAAGUGUUAAGAUUUAAUAAAAAGAAAAAUCUUAGUAAUAUAAUAUAUUUAUUUGAAUAAUCUCUUAAUAAGUACUAUAUUUAAUAAUUUUUUUUAUAAUAGUUUUCAAAUUAUAAUUAUUUAUUUUAAUAUACACUUUUUAAAAUAUAUAAUGUUUAAAUUAGUAGCAUAUAAGAAUUUUUACUAAGGAACUAGGCAAAUAUAUUGCUCGACUGUUUAACAAAAACAUAGCUUAUUGUAAUUAAUUUUAAGUGAGUCCUGCCCAGUGAUUUAUUUAACGGCCGCAGUACUUUGACUGUGCUAAGGUAGCAUAAUAAAUUGACUUUUAAUUGGGGUCUGGGAUGAAAGGGUUUAUCGGGUAAUUACUAUCUUAGAAAAUUUUAUGUAAAUUUACUUAGGAGGUGAAAAUUCCUUCAUGUAAUUUAUUAGACAAGAAGACCCUUAGAGUUUUAAAAUAAUCUUUUUGUUGGGGCGACAAAGUAACAUAUAAAACUUACUAUACUCUAUUUGACGUUAAUUAAGAAGUAUAACUAAACUACCUAAGGGAUAACAGCAUAAUAAUAUUAUUUGAUUGUGACCUCGAUGUUGGAUUAGGAUAUAAUAUAAUUAAACAUUAUAUUUUUCUGUUCUGUUCGAACAUAUUUUCCUACAUGAUCUGAGUUCAGACCGGCGUAAGCCAGGUCAGAU
rnacentral:rRNA from 1 species